AGGGCAGGUUACGGAAACUUUAGAGGCAGAGCGAGAGGUAGAGGAGGCCCCGGAGGGAGUAAUGGUAAUAGAGGGAGUAAUGGGAACAGAGGAUGUGUAAGGGAAGAUAGGUACUAUCCAGCAGCGCAAAGGUCCCGCGAUAGAGAAGGUAGGGACUUUGUGGGAUUGGCUGACACGGUCAUGGAGGACUAUUGAUACCGACCGGGCUCCAUCCCCCUUGGUCGAGC
rnacentral:lncRNA from 1 species